AGUUAAGUCAUCUGAUGCGGAUGCAAUGGACAAAAGUACAAGAAUGGAAUUAUAAUGAGUAAAGACCGUAGAGACCACUGGGGUUAGACUAUGAACACAACCUUUUGUCUACUGAACUCACACGCCUGUGAGACCUGUAACAAAUAGUGGGGGCUCGUCCGGGAUCUCUAGUCCACUUAAGCGGAGGAGCUGAUCCAGAGAUAUCAGAACCGUAAAACCAGGGUGACUGCAGCCUACAAGGGGACCAGCAGGUGUCCACAGUGAGCAGGAUUCCAGCGUCACAGAGGGAGCCGUGCUGUUUAACCAGGGGCCACCAGCCAUCCCGCGAGCACAACUGAUUCAACAAGAUCACGUUGUAAAACUACGAAACUCUCCAACAUGACAGACGCGCGUAAGGAAAUGGUGUGGAGUAUCAAAAAGAACUUGUUUCAGCUCUCAAGUGCCAAUCUUCACCAAGUAGCAAGGAGCAUUGCAGCCGAUGAACAAGAAUUUGUCAAGACAAAUGUAAGCAAUGAGGAGGGUGCCAUGGACUUUAUCAUCAUCUAUCUUCAGUCCCCCACCUUACUAGAACUGGAAGAUGAAGGACCUUGGCCAUAGGCUCGGCCAAUCAAUGACUUGCAAGCUGGUGGACUGGCGAAUGGGAGGAGAGGAGAGGCGGGACAAGACAGAGGAGGGAAAAACACAGAAAAGAGACAGAAGAUGGCGGCGCCCGAAGAGCUCCGAGGCUGACGAAGAUUUUCGGUAAUAUAACAAUAAAUAACAGUUUAGCUCUUAGUUACCGCGUGUGUGACAGGGUAAUCUGAGCUAAGGAACUGCUAAGGAUUGAGUGGCGUGUGGAAGAGUGGAAGACUCCACGCUAACAACGCUGAGGAUUCGUCCGCCAUUAUACCAGCAACAAGUACAGGUCGCGUAGUGCGAGGCACACGUCCUCGUUAAGUAUAGGGAAAAGUGUUUUUACUGAAGUAUAUAACUAACCGUCGUCAACGUGGGGGCCUCUUCCCGUCAGAGAAGGACGACGCCAGCCUGUUGACUGCUGCAGUACGGACGUGUUGGUGGCUCCUCUCCCUGCUCUCCUCCUCAUCCUCUCACGCCAGUGAUAUACGGUGCGGUUGGUGAGUAAAAAGACUUCCCUGCUACACAUAACUUCACCAUUUGGACCGGACAAUGCGCUCAUGAUGGACACGGGGUUUUUUUUGUAUUUCAAACGGAACGUUGCGUGAGACAAUCCAAACCGAAAAGGAACUUUGAAUUGACUGUGAACAAGGAGAGGACAUUGAAUACUGUGCAAACUGUGUGAGACUGUUUUUGGGUUUACUAUUAAUAGCAAAGGUACUGUGUGUGCAUUGUGUUCACAAGCAUACGACUACUAUUUGCAUAUGUGGGAAUUUUGCUGGUUUUUUUGUGUAUAGACACAUGCUGAUGGUGUUUAAUCCAGUUUGCAGGUGUUAUUGUGCCACUCUAGUGAAGUGAAGGUGAACACAACGUUUUGGGGUUCGUAUAGUGGUUACAAAUUAUUCGAAAAGUCAUUCCUACAAGUCUAUAUUUUGUUUAUAUAUUUUUUUAUUUACUUUUUUAUUUUACUUAGUAUUAGAGUACUAAUACUAGUGUAAUAAAUCACAAUCUUUUUCAACUUUCACAAUACUGAUUUUAUUGUGCGGUUUUUUCCUUUCUCUGAAGUAGGGGCGUCUCGUCCCCUGUUCUGGAGCAUAAUAGUUAAGGGGAAUACAGUAAGUCCCACACACUGACACUUACUCAC